UUCUCCUGGAAACGGGUGGUAAUGCCGGAUGCUCCAGUUGAUCGCAUGGUCUUCUGGGAAAGCUUUCGCGGUAUGGGAUGGGGUCGCGUCCUAUCAGCUUGACGGCGGGGUAACGGCCCACCGUGGCUUCGACGGGUAGCCGGCCUGAGAGGGCGACCGGCCACAUUGGGACUGAGAUACGGCCCAGACUCCUACGGGAGGCAGCAGUGGGGAAUAUUGCACAAUGGGCGCAAGCCUGAUGCAGCGACGCCGCGUGAGGGAUGGAGGCCUUCGGGUUGUAAACCUCUUUUAUCGGGGAGCAAGCGAGAGUGAGUUUACCCGUUGAAUAAGCACCGGCUAACUACGUGCCAGCAGCCGCGGUAAUACGUAGGGUGCAAGCGUUAUCCGGAAUUAUUGGGCGUAAAGGGCUCGUAGGCGGUUCGUCGCGUCCGGUGUGAAAGUCCAUCGCUUAACGGUGGAUCCGCGCCGGGUACGGGCGGGCUUGAGUGCGGUAGGGGAGACUGGAAUUCCCGGUGUAACGGUGGAAUGUGUAGAUAUCGGGAAGAACACCA
rnacentral:rRNA from 1 species